rnacentral:rRNA from 1 species
GACGAACGCUGGCGGCGUGCCUAAUACGUGCAAGUAGAACGCUGAAGGAGGAGCUUGCUCUUCUGGAUGAGUUGCGAACGGGUGAGUAACGCGUAGGUAACCUGCCUGGUAGCGGGGGAUAACUAUUGGAAACGAUAGCUAAUACCGCAUAACAGUAGAUGUUGCAUGACAUUUACUUAAAAGGUGCAAUUGCAUCACUACCAGAUGGACCUGCGUUGUAUUAGCUAGUUGGUGGGGUAACGGCUCACCAAGGCGACGAUACAUAGCCGACCUGAGAGGGUGAUCGGCCACACUGGGACUGAGACACGGCCCAGACUCCUACGGGAGGCAGCAGUAGGGAAUCUUCGGCAAUGGACGGAAGUCUGACCGAGCAACGCCGCGUGAGUGAAGAAGGUUUUCGGAUCGUAAAGCUCUGUUGUAAGAGAAGAACGAGUGUGAGAGUGGAAAGUUCACACUGUGACGGUAUCUUACCAGAAAGGGACGGCUAACUACGUG